rnacentral:lncRNA from 1 species
AGCUGUGAGCCCAAAUAAGCUUUUUGUGUCUGCAAGUUGCUUAUCUCAGUAUCUGUUAGAGUAACAGAAACAUGACCAGCAGCCCCUAAUAUAAUAGUGCAGUUGUCCCCCGUAUCCAUGGGGGAUUGGUUCCAGAACCCCCGGGGACACCAAAAUUCAAGGAAGUUCAAGUCCGUCACAGGAAAUGGCACAACAUUUUCAUGUCACCUGUGCACAUCUCCCAUCGGCUCCGAGUCAUGCCUAGAUGGCGUGGGACACCGGAUUCCAUGCUAGCGCUCUAGGAACAGCCGUUACACCUUGUGGUCUAGGUAACGGUCACAAGAGAAAUGCCCAUGCAUGUUCAGUACAGAUGUCAUUUUAAAAGACGCUUUCCACCUGAGGUUGGUUGAAUACUUGGACACAGGACCCACACAUGGGCCACCUGGAUUUUAUUACCUUAUUAUGUUUUUAGUUGCCUAGGGACGGGGACAGCCUACUGCCCUUUCCCAGGAUACCUGACUGUUGGGAAGGGGAUGGGGACGACAUGCAAGUCCCACCCUCUUGGUCUCUUAGGUGGGCUGCCCAAAGGAUGGAGG